rnacentral:rRNA from 1 species
UACGGGGGGGGCAAGCGUUGUUCGGAAUUACUGGGCGUAAAGGGCUCGUAGGUGGCCAACUAAGUCAGACGUGAAAUCCCUCAGCUUAACUGGGGAACUGCGUCUGAUACUGGAUGGCUUGAGUUUGGGAGAGGGACGCGGAAUUCCAGGUGUAGCGGUGAAAUGCGUAGAUAUCUGGAGGAACACCGGUGGCGAAGGCGGCGUCCUGGACCAACACUGACGCUGAGGAGCGAAAGCCAGGGGAGCAAACGGG